rfam:Salmo salar isolate Sally breed double haploid chromosome ssa19, whole genome shotgun sequence.
CCCCGUGUGGCUCAGUUGGUAGAGCAUGGUGUUUGCAGCGCCAGGGUUGUGGGUUCGAUUCCCACGGGGG